AGAAAAUUCUGGUUGUAACUGUUUUCCCUAGUUGAAUUGACUCUGAUUGAAUUAUCUUUCUGCAUACACUUGGCCAAGCCUUGGUCGAACUCUUGCCCCCUUGCAUGCAGUGGAACCGGUCUCUUGGAGUAUAAGAAAAAGUGUUUGGGCUGUCCUUGCUUGAUUGUGGUUCUUUGAACGGUUGAGAACAAGUGCACGUAACUCUUAUUGAGUGGGCUGAAUUUUGGUGUUGUUGAUUAUUGGUUGGACAUAAGGAAGAUAAAGAAAUAUUUGAUAAAGCAUGUCAUUGGAAGUACUUGGUUGAUGCUCUGUUGUUUGAGGAUUACUGCUGUUAGUUCUGUUUCUGUUGGAUUAGAUGCUGAAAAAUUAUAUGCAAUAAGAUGUUAUGAAGAUUAGUAAACUUGUUUUGGGAAUUGAAUUCUGAAAAUUUGA